AGAGGGAAAGGCGCAGGCGCGGCCGGGAGAAAAGGGGAAAGAGACCCUUUUGCAAAAUUCAGGGGUCUUAUCCGUGCACGUUCACAGGACACAAGAGGAACUAAUUGCACCAAAGAAGCUGCAAUCCGAAAAGAAAUUGCAAACGGUGUUCAUGAGCCCAACCAGCUUUGUUCACUUUAUUUAUGCUGUAGUGGUGUAGGGUCUCCUACUUGGGCGGGGGGGUUGGACUAGAUGACCUACAAGGUCCCCUCCAACUCUCUUAAUCUAUGCUAUAUAAGUGUUGAUGUGCAACCCAUCAAUCCCCAAAGCAGGCUACUAGUGAUGACCCAGCCUUCUUUCUCAUCAAGAAGCCUAUAACCAGUGGUGGUGUUCUUUUGGUUUAAAGGCAAAAAAAACUUUAAUGAAAGUGCAUUCCCUUGACAUUGUUUCUCCUCUCAUGAAGUGUCACCUGCCACUGGGAAAAGACAAUAAUCAGUUACUUAAUUUGCGGUAGAGUGAAGCCAGGUGAGCAUAGUUGGAUAUUUUGAAUAGCAGGUAUAGCUGCCUAUCAAAUUGUCCACCUAAACAAGUUUCAGGCAUGAAUGUGCCCUAUGCUUGGCUUGUGGCUAUUAUGUUGAACUAUUUUUGAAGUGGGUCAAAAGAAUACUAAACCAGUAUCCAAAACAGCCUGGAUGACAGGUGGCAGAUAUAGGAGCAGAGAAUAAAGCAGGAGGAAACUCUUAGUGUAAGCCUGAACUAGCCAUACAGUCCCAGAAAAAUAUAUGUUUGAAUAAAGUAGGCAACAACCGGGUGCAAUAAGAUGCUUCAAAGCAGGAAUGGACAAGCUUUUGGUGCCUUAAUUCAAAUGCAUUUUUCCUCAGGAUGACAUUACGAGCCGAAGAGAGGAGGCAGCUCUUUAAUGAGAUGCUGACAGAUGUGUAGCACAUGCUACACCUGCUGCAAAACAUCUUUUCAGCUUCAAAUCUGAAGUGUUAAAUAUCCCUUGGUAUAGGGAGUACAAAGGAUGACCUUUACAUAAAGAGUCUAGAUCCUUUACCAAAUCAAUAAGGCAAAAAACAUGGCUUAAACCUAAGUCAUGCAGCAGACAUGCAAAAAUGUCUCAGAAUUGUUCUGCUACUUCAGAUUCCGUCUUCUUAUUGGGAUGUUGAUCAAUGGACAUGAGGAGUUACCAUCAUGAAAACUAUUAAGAGAUUUAUGGUGCACGCACAUUUGCGAACCAGUAGGGAAGCUUUCUUAUGUAACAAGGAAGUUCUAUCGCUUAGCAAUAGCACCAGUAUUUUUUUUAUACAAUCCUGCACAAAGAUAUGACUUCUUGCUGUGUCAUAAAGGUAGUUCUUGAAUUACGACCGCCAUUGAACCUAAAAUUUCAUUUGCUAAAAGGAAUCCACACUGCCAAAGCUAGGCAGGACUCGUACAAAAUAAGGUAUUCCUGGCAACCGUGAGGUAUUUACUGCUGUUAACAAAGACUGGCAUAUCAAUGGAAUUGAAUCUCAAACACAGUCAACUACUGAAAAAAGAAGAACAGAAGCCAUUCGUUUUUUGUCCAUUGGCGGUUGGUUGGAAUAAUACAAUCAAAUUUUGCCGA